GCUCAGUGAGCGCGUUUCUUAAUUGGAGGUCUUGUGAGAAUUCGUUGAGAUCAUUAGUGAGUAGGAGAGCGAUGCCCUGUCUCAUUAUUAGGACUCCAGCCUUAUCGAGAACCGGUGUUUGUGCAUGUUUUUAACAGCGUUUCCUCCCAUUAGCCGAUGACCAUAGGUCGAGACAGGUAUUCGCAAACAGACUUGUCCCCUACAAAGACUAGACCCACCUGAAGGUAGGGCGGAGAUAAGAAGUGGACCACAAGCAGCGACUGUCGCCUAUAAAAGUCCGACGCGUACGAGACCGACACAGCAGGCAGAAGACGCACCAAGACAUCACUGUAAGAACAUCGGACCGACGUGGCUACUAUAAUCUCCUAAAUUUCUUUCUAACCAGGCCCUUGGAAAGCGUACUACAUAUUCUUACUUACAACAUCGUGAAUUGUAAAAAAAUUGAAGGUAAUCUUCUACAACAACUGAACAAAGUUACGGAAAAUUUUCAUCAAACGCACCCCCUCGACGUCUACGAAAAGAUUCAGACAAUGCAGACCGUGUCGCUGUUGCCCUGUCUCCUCGCCGCCGUGCUGACCGUUCACGCCGUGCGGGCGCAGGACGACUGUCCGCCGGACCUCAUGUCUCCGUCCUGCGACUACUACGGCAGGUGGAGCCGAGGAGGACCGCUGGUCACCGCUGACCCUCGGCCCAGCAGAAGCCAGGCCCGUGGCGGGAUGCAUAUGGUCACCGCUCAUCCCCGGCCCAGCAAGCGGAGCAGGCGUCAACUCGUCCAUAUGCUUAUGGAAAUCGCGGCGAAGCAGCAGGGCCAGGCGGUGAAGCGGUUCGCAGAGGAGGCAUACGAGGAUUCCAGAUCACUCCGCGCAGAGAGACUAAGCCUGAAGAACAUCCUGAUGGGAAGAACUUACUAACAACAAACAUGGACCAGGAAAUACGCAUACCGGGUGGCCACUUCAGGCACACUGGCACAGGCAACGGCAUGGGAACGAGAACGACGACGUCCUGACCAUAGGAACGACAGACAUUGUAGAUAGACGCUGAUAUAGAAACAUAGACUUUUCCGCGAUGCAAACAUAUAUUUUGAGCUUGUGUGUCAUGUACACGGCUACCGCAAACACACCUUUACGUAAACUAUGUGCAAUUUCGACGUGGUUGGUCGUCAACUGUAAGCUAUUUAUAUUUUUUUUUCUUUAGUACCGUUUAGGAAUCAAAAAUGGUGUUUUCAUGUAGGAAAUGGUUUACAAUGGCUUAAAAAAAUGACAAUAUCUGUAUGAAAAAGAAAUUUCCCAAAAAAUGCAAACUCAAUCGAAUUUUUGAAACGAAGUAGCUUUUCCAUACUCAUGACGUCAUUUGUCAAAGUGUAUGGGUCAUUGUUCAUAAAGAACGUUGUACGGUUCGAUGCUUUGGUGAAUUUGCAUUUUUUGACUUUGGUCAGCUCAGAUGUUUCAAAGUUUUAUGAUGGACCUUGGAAACGCAGUACAGAAAAUUGAAUAGAUUAUAAGGGUCUUGGUUAUUUCAUGUUAUCUUAUUUUCUAACCGUACAGGAUUAUACUAUUACUCACUUCUUUCAGUUUUACAUAUUUUGACUGAUGUUCACUCCGACAUUGCCACAGAAAUGCCAGAUUUCUUUGCAAUAAAACAUUUCUUUAAGAACUGUA